UGCGAGUCUUUGCAGUAAUGCAAGGCAUACGGCUCAGUAACACGUAGUCAACUUACCCUAUGGACGAGGAUAAUCUCGGGAAACUGAGCAUAAUACUCGAUAGAUCAUAAUGCCUGGAAUGGUUUAUGGUUGAAAUGAUUCGUCGCCAUAGGAUGGGACUGCGGCCUAUCAGCUUGUUGGUGAGGUAAUGGCCCACCAAGGCGAUUACAGGUACGGGCUCUGAGAGGAGAAGCCCGGAGAUGGGUACUGAGACAAGGACCCAGGCCCUAUGGGGCGCAGCAGGCGAGAAAACUUUGCAAUGUGCGAAAGCACGACAAGGUUAAUCCGAGUGAUUUCUGCUAAAGAAAUCUUUUGCAAGUCAUAAAACCACUAGUGAAUAAGGGGUGGGCAAGUUCUGGUGUCAGCCGCCGCGGUAAAACCAGCACCUCAAGUGGUCAGGAGGAUUAUUGGGCCUAAAGCAUCCGUAGCCGGCUCUGUAAGUUUUCGGUUAAAUCCAUGUGCUCAACGCAUGGGCUGCCGAAAAUACUGCAUAGCUAGGGAGUGGGAGAGGUAGACGGUACUCGGUAGGAAGGGGUAAAAUCCUUUGAUCUAUCGAUGACCACCUGUGGCGAAGGCGGUCUACCAGAACACGUUCGACGGUGAGGGAUGAAAGCUGGGGGAGCAAACCGGAUUAGAUACCCGGGUAGUCCCAGCUGUAAACGACGCAGACUCGAUGAUGCAUUGGCAUAUAGCCAGUGCAGUGUCGCA
rnacentral:rRNA from 1 species